AGGCCAGUCAACAUAUCGUCAUCAGCUGGGCAAAAAUUUACUAGAUCACCAGGUGCAAAGAGGAAAGAAGGGGGAUCAUCAAACAUUGAGCUACAGAUAGCCUCACUUAACAAGGCCGGACCAAUGACUUUCAUACAGAAGACCCAUGCCAGAGACGAUAAGGAUCUUAGGAAAGUCGUAGAUGACCCGUUAAACCAAAUCAAGGAGCUGGAGACAAAAAUAAGUGCAUUGCAAACAGAAUUAAGUGAACUGAAACAAAAGUAAGUUUUAAAUUUCACACAUUGUAAAUUGCAACCUUCUUAUGCCACAUGAUAAUGGCGGAAGAAAAUAGAUUGUUACCCCUGUCCGUAGGUGUGCAUGUUUGUGCGUAUGUGUUUGUUUGGGACAUUUUGUUGCAUGCUCAUUAUUUUGUUAUAUUUUAGAGGCGUUUCAAAUAAAUUGUUGCACAAUUGAUAAUCAUAUCAAGACAAUUUCUCGCAUGCAAAAACCA